rnacentral:tRNA from 1 species
GAGGGUGUGGCUCAGUGGCAGAGCGCAUGCUUAGCAUGCAUGACGUCCUAGGUUCAGUCCCUAGUACCCCUG